rnacentral:rRNA from 1 species
CCUACGGGUGGCAGCAGUGGGGAAUAUUGCACAAUGGGCGCAAGCCUGAUGCAGCCAUGCCGCGUGUGUGAAGCAGGCCUUCGGGUUGUAAAGCACUUUCAGCGGGGAGGAAGGCGGUGAGGUUAAUAACCUCAUCGAUUGACGUUACCCGCAGAAGAAGCACCGGCUAACUCCGUGCCAGCAGCCGCGGUAAUACGGAGGGUGCAAGCGUUAAUCGGAAUUACUGGGCGUAAAGCGCACGCAGGCGGUCUGUCAAGUCGGAUGUGAAAUCCCCGGGCUCAACCUGGGAACUGCAUUCGAAACUGGCAGGCUAGAGUCUUGUAGAGGGGGGUAGAAUUCCAGGUGUAGCGGUGAAAUGCGUAGAGAUCUGGAGGAAUACCGGUGGCGAAGGCGGCCCCCUGGACAAAGACUGACGCUCAGGUGCGAAAGCGUAGGGAGCAAACAGGAUUAGAUACCCCAGUAGUC